rnacentral:lncRNA from 1 species
AAAAACAAGUCUAUAUAUACAGAUGGAGACUGAAAUAGUACAAAACGCCAUGUGCUCACCCCCGUCUCCGGAUAAGUCUACUCCAAGCCCGAUCAACGCUGGCUACUAGUGCUCGGACCUGCAUCACAAAAUAGAUGCAGAGCGUAGCAUGAGUACCAAAACAACAGGUACCCAGUAGGCAUCAUCGGCCGACUGAGCAAGAUAAGCAAAAGUAAACUGAAAUGCAAAUAAAGGGUCACAUCAAGUGCAAAGAGUAGUAAAUAGGGGGUAUGUACACGAGCGUACAGGCAACAAAGACAAGCAAUCUAACUAACUCCGCCGGGCUCCCAUAAACCCGACGGGUACGCUCGUGCACAAUAAAAGAAACCACCUGCACGGACCCCCAUAAGCCCAGCAGAUGCAUCAGCAGUUAAAGUCGGCAGUUAAAGUAAAAUAAUGGAACUAGAAGGUCUAUCACAAUAUUACAAAUUUUCGGACUUUUAACUGAACCAUUCCCAAUCAUAUUCCAGGAUCUCAUUACGUCCCGGACUUUAACCGAAAUCUCUUCAACCUCCAAAACCUCAACCUACAGAUGAGAGUAAUCAAGACUAAACUGAAGCUUUAGUGAGGAAUUGGGAAUACACCACGUGCAAGCUGGACCACGGACUCGAACCGGGUACUAUAGCUAAUGAGUCAACCUAUAUGGGCUGGACCACGGACUCGAACCGGGUACUAUAGCUAAUGAGUCAACCUAUAUGGGCUGGACCACGGACUCGAACCGGGUACUAUAGCUAAUGAGUCAACCUAUAUGGGCUGGACCACGGACUCGAACCGGGUACUAUAGCUAAUGAGUCAACCUAUAUGGGCUGGACCACGGACUCGAACCGGGUACUAUAGCUAAUGAGUCAACCUAUAUGGGCUGGACCACGGACUCGAACCGGGUACUAUAGCUAAUGAGUCAACCUAUAUGGGCUGGACCACGGACUCGAACCGGGUACUAUAGCUAAUGAGUCAACCUAUAUGGGCUGGACCACGGACUCGAACCGGGUACUAUAGCUAAUGAGUCAACCUAUAUGGGCUGGACCACGGACUCGAACCGGGUACUAUAGCUAAUGAGUCAACCUAUAUGGGCUGGACCACGGACUCGAACCGGGUACUAUAGCUAAUGAGUCAACCUAUAUGGGCUGGACCACGGACUCGAACCGGGUACUAUAGCUAAUGAGUCAACCUAUAUGGGCUGGACCACGGACUCGAACCGGGUACUAUAGCUAAUGAGUCAACCUAUAUGGGCUGGACCACGGACUCGAACCGGGUACUAUAGCUAAUGAGUCAACCUAUAUGGGCUGGACCACGGACUCGAACCGGGUACUAUAGCUAAUGAGUCAACCUAUAUGGGCUGGACCACGGACUCGAACCGGGUACUAUAGCUAAUGAGUCAACCUAUAUGGGCUGGACCACGGACUCGAACCGGGUGCUAUAGCCAAAACCAGAUCAUAGGUAAGCUGGACCACGGACUCUAACCGGGUACUGUAGCUAAAACCAGAUCACAGGUAAGCUGGACCACGGACUCUAACCGGGUACUGUAGCUAAAACCAGAUCACAGGUAAGCUGGACCACGGACUCUAACCGGGUACUGUAGCUAAGAAUCAAUAUCCAACCAUACGUCGCGGGAAAUAUCACCAAACCGAUUACCAUAAAUAAUCAUUUCAGUCCAACUCUCAUAUACCCCAAAUCGCCGAGGAAGUAUCCAAUAGUGAGUAAGCUAGACCACGGACUUUAACCGGGUACUGUAGCUAAGAAUCAACAUCCAACCAUACGUCGCGGGAAAUUAUCACCAAACCGAUUACCAUAAAUAAUCAUUUCAGUCCAACUCUCAUAUACCCCAAAUCGCCGAGGAAGUAUCCAAUAGUGAGUAAGCUAGACCACGGACUUUAACCGGGUACUGUAGCUAAGAAUCAACAUCCAACCAUACGUCGCGGGAAAUUAUCACCAAACCGAUUACCAUAAAUAAUCAUUUCAGUCCAACCCUCAUAUACAACAAAUCGCCGAGGAAGUAUCCAAUAGUGAGUAAGCUAGACCACGGACUUUAACCGGGUACUGUAGCUAAGAAUCAACAUCCAACCAUACGUCGCGGGAAAUUAUCACCAAACCGAUUACCAUAAAUAAUCAUUUCAGUCCAACUCUCAUAUAACCCAAAUCUCCGAGGAAGUAUCCAAUAGUGAGUAAGCUAGACCACGGACUUUAACCGGGUACUGUAGCUAAGAAUCAACAUCCAACCAUACGUCGCGGGAAAUUAUCACCAAACCGAUUACCAUAAAUAAUCAUUUCAGUCCGAUCCUCAUAUACCCCAAAUCGCCGAGGAAGUAUCCAAUAGUGAGUAAGCUAGACCACGGACUUUAACCGGGUACUGUAGCUAAGAAUCAACAUCCAACCAUACGUCGCGGGAAAUUAUCACCAAACCGAUUACCAUAAAUAAUCAUUUCAGUCCGAUCCUCAUAUACCCCAAAUCGCCGAGGAAGUAUCCAAUAGUGAGUAAGCUAGACCACGGACUUUAACCGGGUACUGUAGCUAAGAAUCAACAUCCAACCAUACGUCGCGGGAAAUUAUCACCAAACCGAUUACCAUAAAUAAUCAUUUCAGUCCGAUCCUCAUAUACCCCAAAUCGCCGAGGAAGUAUCCAAUAGUGAGUAAGCUAGACCACGGACUUUAACCGGGUACUAUAGCCGAUAGAAAAACAGGGCAUUAUGGAUACAAGGUCAUAAGCUGAGUUACCGCCUAGCUAAGGCUCAGACUAUCAGACUCAAGUCUGCUAUAUCAGUCUACAAGGAGCUGACCGUCCGAAACGACGUCGGAAAAAGUUCUACUGCCCAACAACAUCCGAAAUCUCGCAAGUCUAUGGCAACACUAGUCUAAGCCUAGACUAAGGCCAAACAUACUUCAAAUCAAUAUUAUCAUAUACACCACAAGGUAUGGAUAUUCAAGAAUAUCAAGAGACAUGCUGUCAUAAUCCAACACUUUCCCGAAAAAGGGUCUAAGGCAGGAAUUAUAGAAAUUUAGCAUGCUCGACACCCGAACCCCUCCAUACUCAAGCAAAUCAAUAAACAAAUGCCUAAACAGGCUCAAUCUCACGAGAGAAAGCCAUAGCCUACCUGAAUGCCGACCACGCGUGCUCCAACUCACGGUACCGGACCUUUUCCCCUCCGAACGGUCUCCAAAUGCUUCCCCACUAACAAAAGGUUAAUCACCUUGUCAUUACGAAUAAAUUGACACUAAAAUUAUAUUUUUCGGAGACGGACCCAAAAUCGGGUCUAAAACGGGAUUGUGGGGCCCACACUUAGAAUCUCAAAAUCGAAUCCGUGGAAACGUCCCAACUACCUUACUAAACUAAUAUCCCAAAAUUUUAGCACAAACAGAUGCCAACAACACCGCAAAUCAACCACAAUAAUUAAAAAGGGCAGCCCCUUGAUCACCAAUUUUCGGAAAAACGAAACCCUUUCAACCCAAACAGAUUAUACCACGACGAUCCUUGCGAAAAACUUUACAAGUUAGCCCCAAGAAUGACUUAAAACGGACUUACGAUGAUCAAGAUCUCACAUUUCAAAAUUCAAUAACAAAACCAUCCGGAAAUCACACUGGCAGUGGCUAAAAUUGAUUUCUUACCUCAAACGAAGCCGCCCCUCGCGUUUCCGAGAUCACCGCUAGAUUCCCCUCGAAAUUCUCUUGAAGUUUGCCUUUUGAAUCACUUAAUUUGGACUCAAAAUGAAGGAUUAAUCUCAAGUUGAAGUUGAACAAAAAAAUUGGACGAAUUUCGUUCUUAAAAUCUGGAAAUUUCCAGAUAUCACUCUUAUGCCACGUGUCGUCACGUGGUUC